rnacentral:lncRNA from 1 species
GUCAAACAUAAACCCAAUCUGAUUCUCUAUACUGCACCUGCAAUCAAACUUGAAAAUUCAACACUUUAUUUUUCUUAAAAAUAUUCACCUCAUUUGCCCCUGAAUUUCAUUGGUCCGGGCAGAGGAACCACAGCUGGGCAAGUUUGUGAACCAGAGUCAGUGUCAGUGUAAGGCCCCAUCUGGAAUACUGCUUCCUGGCCUGGUGCCCCAGUACAGGAAGGAUGUGGAGCUGUUUGAGUGGGUCCAGAGGAGGGCCGGAAAGAUGAUCAAAGGGCUGGAGCACCUCUCCUGUGAUGAGAGGUUGAGGGAGCUGGGCUUGUUUAGCCUGGAAAAGACAAGGUUCCAGUGAGACCUUGUUGUGGCCUUCCAGUACUCAAAGGGAGCUUAUAAGCAGGAGUGGGACUAAAUUUUCACAUGAUCUGAUAGUGAUAUGAAGAUUUUUAUUUUUUUUUUCUCAGAUGAUAGUGAGGCACUGGAACAGGUUUCCCAGAGAAGCUGUGGAUGCCCCAUCCCUGGAGGUAUUCAAGGGCAAGUUGCAUGGGCCCUCAGCAACCUGAACCGGUAAAUGGCAGACAGCCCAUGGCAGGGGAGUUAGAACUUGAUGGUCCCUAGGGUCCCCCCCAACCUAAGCCAUUCUAUGAUUUUGUGUUGCAAUAUGCCACUUGGGAAUUAAGCCCUACUUCUCAGCAAAGCACUACAACACACAGUUCGGUGGUGCAAUGACUAAAUUUGUAGCAACAGGAACUAUGCCCUAGUAAAGUCUUCUCUUGUGAUGGAGCAGGAAAACAUGCCCUCUCCAAUCAGAAAAAGAAGGAAGAGUGAAAAUUGUUACUGAAAAUGAUACACAGUGCAGAGGGAACAAAUGCUAUGCUAGAAUUAAAAUUUUGUGAAGUUUUUAUUUUUCCUUGGAAAUUGCUUCAUUCACCAGCCAGAAAGAAUCACACACACCAGGAUGAGGAGGAUGAGAGGGUGGAUUUUGAAAGCCAGGAGUGUCAUGGUUACCUAGAUAAGUUUCAGUCUCUGCUGGGCACUAAGUGCAUAUGA